CAUGUUUGAUCCUCCUGCCACAUGGCAACUGUUUCCACUUAGAGGGUCCCAGAGGGUAUAGGGACUCUCAACAAACACGAUGGUCUUAAUCUCCUUUUGCUCUCUUCUCCAAGGGUUUAGACAUGGUCAGAGCUUGUAUCAUUGCAAAGCCUCCCGGGUGAUGUAGUCAUGUUCGACUUCUGAAUUGACACUGGCCAUUGAUGAAAAUCACCUGCAUUUAUUAUCGUGUGCCACACCCCGCACCAACCAAUUAUCCGAUGGCUAAGAAUUGUCUCCAAAAGAUUUGCUUCAAAAGAGGGUGCUGGAAAAUGGUGGGGACUGUUUAAAAAAAAACCAUCACUGGGCUUUCAAGUAAGUUUCUAAGCCAUUCUGGGAAACUUUUUUUCCCCUCAAACCCAACUUAGCAGACUUGGCUUAAGAAAGGCUUAUUCCCUUCAAUUAAAACCAAGAGCAUUAAUCAAAUGUUUGACACUAUAAAUGUUUCCAAUUAACAUCUAGCUUAAAACCACAUGUGUUUCAAGGGAAAUUCAAAAGAUCUAUCGGUACAGGUGACCCCUGAGAAACCAUUAACACAUGGCUGGAGACAGCAAGAAACAUUCUCCAUUUGUGAAAAAGAUAAAGAAUCCAUUUAGGGCUCAUUACUACUUCAAACAUUAUGUUCAGACGGGAGACUCCUAAGCUGGAAGUUAGGGAUUUAUGAAUGAGUCAAAAGGAAAAUAAUAACAUAUCUGUGUUUGAAAUAGUCACACCCGAAAGAACAAGUUCUGGUCCUAAGAAAAACCAUGGUUUGUUCAUGAUCCAGAGACGUCGGCUGUUUAUCUGAGGAGUUUGUCCCAAGCUGUUCUUUUCUGCCUUCUGCAGAGGCCGCAUGUUCAGAUACCUGUGGGUCCAAGGAGGUUGCUGAAAUGCAGGGAAUGGGAUGGCCUGGUGUACCGGGGACCACAUCCAAUCACCUCUCUAAGGAGAGAAUCUCCAUUGAAUGCCAGCCAACUUCUGUCUCUUGAAAGUGCAAGUCUGAUACUCUAAGAGAAUUCAUGAAUUUCAAAGAGUGGUAAUUAAUUGGAUGCAAAGCAAAACAACAAACACUGACCUUUUCCUCAGCGUGUAACCUUUGCAUCUGCUUUUGGGUGGAAUGGAGGGGUGGGGUCAGGCUGACAUGGUUCCAGUGUGGAUGGCAGUGAACCCUUUCAGUGAUCUAUCAGCCCAUGACCAGUCUUGGCAGGCAUUCUUUGGCUGUCUCUCACAGAGAAUCCACCCAGCUCCUGGCAGAAGAGAAAAGACUUCCCAAAUCAUUUCUCAACUGAUCGGUCAAAGUGAGUUAAAUUAUUCCAGGUGUGCUGUGUAGGGGGUUAUUAUGACCAUAGGGGAAUGGUAACAUUAGGGCAAGUCCAUCGCCCAGAGAGCUGAUGAAUUGCCUUCUCUUGCCUGUCUCCCUGUGACCCCUCAACAGCUGGGCUGCCAAUCCCACAGUGAGGGGCUGCCGACAAACACCUAGGGCUAGUCGGCUGGGCCCAGAAAGACACAUAUUUCUUUCUCAUUUUUCUCUUCAAAUAUCUUCCAAAAGACAAAAGACAGGAGAUGACCAUAAUAAGAUAAAUGCUGGGAUGGUCACACAGAACAAAAUAUUUGACAUCCAGAAAUGAUUUCAAGACCUAGAGAACUGCUACACUCAUAUUUUCACAGAGACUUUUUUUUUUUACUUUUUUCUUCUUUCUUUUUCCUCUCUUCUUCUUCCACUCUUUUAUUUUUAAUGUUUUUAUUCCAAUGUUUUUGUGUUUUGGCUAGAAAUUGUUAGAUGGGUUUUAAAACAGAUAAACAAAAUAAAAAAUAGAUGGUGAUUUUAGCUUAUUUCAGUAAUCACCCAGUGUCUGCGUAGUCUUUGUUCUACACCCUAACUAGCUAAAUGGUUGUUGAGUGGUUCCCAUUGUUCUUCUCAAUCUUGGCUUAACAAUUGGUCAUAGAUACCAAACUUUAUAAAAGGUAAAGGUUGAGCAAGUACGUGCUAAUAAAAGCCAACCAAGGGAGCAAGACACAAAUGCCAGCUUUUGAUAUCAUCUGUGGGUGAUAGAAUUUAAUCCUGCCCCCAUGCAUAUGCUGAAAUUUCUUUAGGAUUUAUGUUUUUGCAAAUCAUAGGAAACUUAAUUAAAACUAUCUUUACAACAACAGGUCUUGUUGGGUGUUAUAACUGAGAUGCCCUGGCCCGAUCCGGGACCACAAAUAUGACAGAAUAGCUUUGUCCCUUUCAUCCCUUCAUCCUGCUGGCUUCAGCUCUCCAACUGGAACCAGGAACCCGUUGGAAGAAGACAGACCCUUUCUCUGGUCUCAGGAUGGGAAACAAGUACUACCCACAGAAUGCCAGCCACACUCAGAGUGCAUUUUCAUGUCCAGAGUGACUGUGUCUCAUAGUACGAUCACGAAAGUCACCACGUGAAUCAUGGAAGUGAGAUACUUGGAAUGGUCUGGGGUUCAGAAAGAUUCAGGACCUUUCUCUCCAAAUAGUGGCUAGCUGGGAGACUGUCCUCACACGCAAAGUCACACACACGCAUCAACCUGAGGAGGAAAGGAAACUGAAGAAAAGCCACCCUGGACAGUAACACUCACCCAGGACCUUUCCUUUCUCCUGACCCUGAACUCACUCUUUCUUAAGCCCUGUCCAGGCAACGGCACACAGGCAUAUUUGACAGUAGUGCCUAGAGGGAAGUUCAGUUGGGUUUCCAGGGGCAUAUGCAGCUGUUGUGGUUCUGUGGCUACCCAGAUGCUGCUGGGGUGAUCUUGGGAGGGAAGUAGAAAGACUCUCCACAUCCCAGGUUUCAGCUGUGUAAGCAACACGAUUGUGAGGAGGAAGAUGAGAGAGACCUCUGUGGGGUCUACCCCAGUGUCCUGUCUUGUAUACUGCUAUGUUAUGUGGCUAUCCAAGUUGUUGAAUAGUUAAUUCUCUAUAAAUAAUUGUUAAAUAAAGUUACUCAAGUUUCCACAUAA